rnacentral:misc_RNA from 1 species
UACAGAAGCCCCAAGCGUUACCCGGAUUUACUGGGCGUAAAGGGUGCGUAGGCGGCUUUGUUAGUCUCUUGUUAAAACUUCCGGCUCAACCGGAAGCCCGCAAGGGAAACGGCAAAGCUCGAGGAUGUGAGAGGUGUGCGGAACUCACGGUGUAGGGGUGAAAUCCGUUGAUAUCGUGGGGAACACCAAAAGCGGAGGCAGCACACUGGCACACUCCUGACGCUGAGGCACGAAAGCGUGGGUAGCGAACAGG